GAGGAGCGGGGGAAGAGAGGGCGGGCUAGCUGGGUUCUUGACGGCUAAAGCGGCCAAGAACCGAGCUAGAGAGGAGCAAUCGAGCACCUCUAGUGGAGGACAAACCGGUAUUUCUAAGGUCUAGGGGUGGACAAAGGACCAAGCUAGAGAGUCUGGCUAAGCUAAAAUGGUGCGUGUUGUUCCUUCGUAAGGAAAGUAUAGACCCGGGCUCGCUAACCUAGCAGGGUACGAGGUGACGCUGCGCCUAUAGGACUUAUUGUUUUUAUAAAGGGUAGGUCUAAGGUAGCCUAACAUAGUAUUAACCACUUUCCACACUGCAAUUCUGUAUUAAAACCAGCCUUUAAGAAGCUGUACCCCUCCCACUUCGAGUUCUAGUUCUUCGACCUCUUGUGGUCGCCCGCCGUCCACUGUAUAAGAUUCGCCGCCAGUCCCUAAGAGUUCUUCCGGUUUCUCAAUAGGUAAGAGACACUAUAGCUAGAGUAAGAAGAGUACAAAAGGGGGUCACCUUCCGGAUGGUAUACGCAGCCGCUGUUUUCGGGGUAUCUGCUUCAGUAACGUUUCAUACGUGUUGUUUGAGGAGUCCUUUCCCGAUUUUCCUUCGACCUCUCGAAUCUUCGUGAUUUCUUCUGUAAGUUCUUCGAUCUGGUACUACAGUUGUAAGUCCUGAAGAAUCCGAGGCCCCCAGUCUGCCAGCUCCUUAAUAGAUCAGUAGAACCGCGUAACGUUACAGUUUACCGUCUACAAGUUUUCGCAGAGUCAAUAACCUCGCUAGGGCUCUUCCAACUCUUAUAUCUGGUAUAUUCUCGCUACCUCGUUAGAGAGUUUCUUAGAGAAUUAGCGUAGCCGUAAGUAUUCCUCUUGAAACGUUUCGUCGUAGACUACCCGGAUGUCACGCGACGACGAGUCAAGGUCUUGCUCUACGUCGAUGGAGACCCCGAUUGGCCACUGGGCUUGGGAAGCAGCACCAAGGUGUCGCCACCGCCGUCGCUACCUGUCGGCGGGUACUACAAUGGACUUCUGGGGUCGAACGAGGUAGUCUCCCUGUAGCCCACGAGCUGCUCGUGCAGCGACGUCUCGAUGGGCCCGAUGAAGUCGUACUCGUUCGUCAGCUGCCUGUGGCGGCCCCCGCUCGUCGUCGUGGUCGUCCGCCGCCGCCAUGUAGUCGUGGUCGUGGUCGUGGUCGUCGGCCUCAAGUCGGUCCCGCUGACGGACUGCAGUGACGUAGAGCCGCGCGUCAAGGGCAUGGUCAGGCGGAAGCUGGUGCGGUCGGAGGAGUUGCUGUCCGAGAAGUCCGGCCUGUACCUCGACGUGCAGCUGUUGCGCCGCCGGAGCCGGUACCUGAAGCAGCCGCCGGUGAUACUUUACGGCUCCGGGCCGCUGCUCCGGUCGAAGGUCUUGACCCGUAGCCGCCGUACGCCGCGGUGGUACAUGCUAGUGGUCGUCGUCGGCGGUAGACGGGUUGAAUAACAAGUCUUGUACUGACUUAGGGACUGGCAGUCGAGGGACGUCGUCGUUGAGACUAUCAUCGAAGCAAGCUGGUGCUGUGGCGGCAUGUAGUCGUCGAGUACUAAACUACUAAGAAAUCGGUUGCUUGGCUUCGGAUUUCCGGAAUGGUAGCGACGAUUUUUCUUAGGAAGAGUCAGUCAAACAAUAAGGCAUCCUUACUUUGUUCCACAUAUCCCCUUUUAACUUAAACAGUCACAUUUCGUAUAUGACUGGUAUCGGCUAAGUUGAACAUUUUAUAUUUACCUAAGAAUUGAGAUUACAUUUGAUACGACGUAAAAACGGUA
rnacentral:rRNA from 1 species